rnacentral:rRNA from 1 species
CCUACGGGAGGCAGCAGUGGGGAAUAUUGCACAAUGGGGGAAACCCUGAUGCAGCCAUGCCGCGUGUGUGAAGAAGGCCUUCGGGUUGUAAAGCACUUUCAGUGGUGAGGAAGGAUGUAAGAUUAAUACUCUUGCAUAUUGACGUUAGCCACAGAAGAAGCACCGGCUAACUCCGUGCCAGCAGCCGCGGUAAU